AUUUUAAUUUCAUCAAAGUAAUCAAAAUCAUAACAAAAACAACUUCUUUUCUGUUUUUCCUCCACUUUGGGUGGCACAUGAUGAAUAAUUGAAACUCUGGCUCUAGUCGUUUAUGCACUAACAUCACCUUCCUUUAUGGUAUCUCGAUAUGGUGUCUCCUGAACUGGAGAGCCCACCACACCAAGGUGUUGGCCCCUGAAGAUCUAGCUGUUAAGGGAAAACCCAGGCAGAGCAACAGCAACUGACUGGUCA
rnacentral:lncRNA from 1 species